AUGAUCCUGUUAAGAGUUAGAACACGAGAAAAGAGAAGAAGACUUUAUGAUCCAUUCUCUCUUACAGUCUAAGGAACGUGCCUUGUUUCUUUUAACCCAACACAAGCCAUUAACACUCAUGCCGAAAUUCUACUCAACAACACUUCAACCAACGAUCACUACUGGCUGUAAGCGACCGAGUGAUGCGCGUUUGGAGCAAUACUGUCUGUAUCCAAGGCUCAGCCUAUCGUUCACAUAACAAACAGAAUGCAGCGCAGCAGGCGACUGAAGAGAGACGUGCUUGUUACAGCAUCAGCGGAGAGUGGAAAGGCAGCUUGCCAUUUGCAGCAGCGCGUCCCCUGAAUGAUAAUGAAGAGGUAACGUUAGAGAAGCCUGACCACGGAGAUGGGGGUGAGAAGAUGAUAAAGCAUACUUCAUGCGUACUUCAUGAGCUGUAACCGAAAAACAACUGGCAUUUGGAAAGUUUGAGCGCCAGCCUCCCACCCUUCCCUGCUCCAAUGUGCUGACUGCGGCAUGUUUAUCUCUGCCCCGCGCCACUAUCUUCAUCAAUUCUACUGGCCCCAAGACGACUGUGUACACCGCCAUCCCCAUGCAUCAGGCACAAACCCAAACCUGCCUCUGAGUCGGAGAGGAGGGCUCCGCAAAUUUGUCAAAAGAGAGAGAGAGAGAGAGAGAGAGAGAGAGAGAGAGAGAGAGAGAGAGAGAAAUGCACCUCAGAUGACAAUAACGUCUGGCCAAUAUUUCAUUGAAAUGAAGUGCUGUGGCACAGUUUACAGCAGCCAGGGAGAAAAGAAGAGCGGGAGGAACAAACGAAUGGAUGCAAAGCUCUUAUCACACAGAGUUUUUCUUCUUUCAGCCGUAGCAGAGAAAGAAAGGGGGUCAGGGGAAUGGCUGGUUCCCAGGGGUCUGUGUCAGUUCAGGACAGAGGAGUAUUUGGGGGGAAAUGGCAGAGGAAAGGAAGCAAUGGAAACUGUUUUUUCUUUUCUUUCCAUCAUCAGUUGCAGAGGUUUGAUCAUUUUUUAACUGCCCUCAACACAUCAUUCUCUUUCGAUCCUAUCAACCCGUACGUCUCACUUACUGUACAGGGCAACAAGGUUCAUCAUGACAACUGAUUUAUAAAGUAGUAUAUCCUACGCCAAUUCUUACCGGAGAGCAUGGGGACAGCGGCCUCGGACACUCCACCUCUGUCUUCACCUUUGACCUCUUGGUGAUCAUGGGAUUGACUGUACUGCUCACUGCCGAGUCCCCACAUGUGUUCUGGAGUGGAGGAGCGGAGAGAAUAGGAGAGGAGGGGAGAGAAUCAAAGAGAAGAAAAGAUAGGGGUUAAUACAGGGCUCGAGUCAAAUAGACAUUCAUACAUCAGAGGUGAGCCACCACAGAGACUAAACAAUUUCGAGUGUUUUGUGAUGAGAGGGUGCAGCACGAAAACAUCCCAUCCAUCUACAGAGCGAGCCCACUGCCUGGGGCUUCAGUGUAAACCUCAGGUGACUCCUGGAGAAACUUUGGAGACGAGAGUAGGCACACCCCACCACCUACACAGUUAAUGCUUCACAAUAAGCUGACACAGGCCGUAUCUGCCAGUUGGCUUUACGAGUCAUGCUAGACUGUGAUUCUGGAAACCACAGCAAAGUGUUCCUAAUCAGAGGAAGACUUUGUUUCUCCUCAGUAUCCCUCUGUGUUUACUGUGGUCUGUAACAGAACAGUGGGGUUGGAGUUUACCUUACGAAGGGGCGUUUCAGUGAAUGGUAUGAUGAGAACCACAAACCACAGUGGACGUAUACAAUGGAUGAGAAAGGAGACAGCAGUACUUAUGUUUUAAAUCAUCUUAAAACAAGUUUACUGACUAUGCAAACAAACAGAAGAAAAUUGUACGGCUAUAGACGUCAUGCUGGUUUGAUUUGAGCAUCCCACACAAUACCAGAACUUCCAGAAGGCCACAGGGCAAGGCUCACAUUUGGCGGUUAUGGACAAUGAGAAGAUCUACCUCGUACCAGACAAUUUAGGCACAGUUCAGGAAGAAGAUGAACAAACUCAAGCAAAAAGUCUUCGCACAUCAAAGCUGGUUUGCAUACCGCCGUUAGCAAAGAAGAAGAGCAGUCUCACCUUUGACUGUGAGCCAUUGUGGUGGUUGUGUGAGGAGGGGGGCAGAGAGGAGAGACCCAGGGCAGACUGGCGACUGGAGAAGAUGGGUGGGGGCUGGAUGAGAGGAGGGGUGUGGCCAAACACACUCAGGCCUCUCUGCUGGGACAGGAGCUGCUGGUAGGCCAUGGGGUUGAUGUGGUGGGGGAAGGUAAAGGACGGACUGGAACACAAGACAUUAACGCACAUGAGAGAUAUGUCUCUUAUCUCCAACUGUGACACAAAAUUCCACUUUCAACCCAGGUAGCCUAGAGGUUUAAGUGUGUUGGGCCAGUAACUGAAAGGUCACUGGUUCAAAUCCCUGAGCUGACCAGGUGAAAAAUAUAUCGAUGUGCCCUUGAGUAAGGCACAUAAGCCUAAUUGCUCCUCUGAGUCAAGAGUCUGCUAAAUGACUCAAAUGUAAGUCACAACUUUUCAGCUGAACUCAAUGUUAGUCAUGUAUAAGGCUGUGGGGGUCAUGAAGUUCUGUCAGCCAGGGAUUUUCAAGCAAAUAACUGGCGGUCUCACGGUAACUUAACAUGAAUUAUCUUAAACACAUUUAGCAUCUCCUGGCUUCCACGCAGCCUACAAGCCACUGAUGCAGACCUUUGGAACAUAUACAUUCUAAAAAGUUCGUUAAAUCCAUGAAAUGUAGCUUACACUAUCAUAAUAAAUCCAUUAUUUAUUUUAGACAGGUCUAAAGAAACUUGAUAUGAAGAAAAAGUAGAAUAGAAUUGUAUAAUCUGAGUUGUCUUUAUGUUUGGCCCUGAUCUGGCUAGGCCAUAUGGCUGUGGGCUACACUAGUUCAUUUAGCAGACAAGAUUUGCUUGGCAUUAUUUUAUAUUAUUUUAUAGUAUGAAGAAUACAAUUGAACAAAGCUGAAUAAAACAGAAAGGAUAUUUUCUCCAAAUGAUUUGAGGGAGUGCGCACAUGUGUCUAUUCUGGGUUGAGUGGUUAACAAAGAAACAUGUACUCCUAUAUGCUUAAUUUUGAGUUUUUAAUGUAACUUUAGUUGUGAUACAAAUGUGUUUGUUUCGAUUUUUAAUACAUUCUAAGGCUACAUGAUGCAACUCUUUUAUUUAUUUAUUUAACCUUUAUUUAACCAGGUAGGCUAGUUGAGAACAAGUUCUCAUUUGCAACUGCGACCUGGCCAAGAUAAAGCAAAGCAGUUCGACACAUACAACAACACAGAGUUACACAUGGAAUAAACAAACAUACACUCAAUUAUACAAUAGAAAAAUCUAUAUACAGCAUGUGCAAAUGAGGUAGGAUAAGAGCGGUAAGGCAAUAAAUGGUGGCAAAGUAAUUACAAUAUAGCAAUUAAACAACUCUAUUGAUGAUUUGAAAAAAGUUGCAUGAAAGGCAUGAGCUCUGCUUUGUUUUGUUUUUUACACAGGAUAUACACACUUCAUCAGUCUCUCAUUCACAAUUGGACAAGAACUUGAUAAUGCCUUAAAUUUCCCAGCUGCAUACCCAUUGUGUGGCCGUAAUGCCAUCUAACAAAUCCAUUCCUUUUGCGCCCAAAUUGGCCGUUGUGCCGUUGGGCUGAAUAUAAUAAUUCUAAUUCCCUUCUUCCGGCUGCGUGCUGAAGCACCUCUCACUCACAUGGCUCUCUGUCAAGUGAUCAGGUCUUUCUCACAGGCUACAAGUGAAGACAGACACAUCGGGGACACAACUGCGCACGUCCUUAUCCAUUUCCGAGGCGCAUAUUGAAGAUAUUGGAAGAACUGUCCACAUUUACUUUUCGUCAGCCUAACGAGUAAUAAGUAGGCAGCAAAAGCACUAGCCUAUGGCAAUCUACUAUCCCCCAUAGUACAAAAGUUGAUAUAUUCUAUUCUGUGCAAGAAAUAAAUAUUCCAUAGUCUUGGACACUAGCAUAAAAAAAACUGAAAACGUUUAGCUUAAAAAAGGCAAUUUCUUCGCAUUAUAAGUGCAGCAAUGUGCACACUGCAGUAGGCUAUAAGCAUGAAUGUUCCAUUAGCAGGAAAACACUAUUCUCAAAAGUGACCACAAAUGCGAUUAUGCAUGUAAUGCUUUUAUCAGAAAAGUGCAUUUUUAUGGUGUAAAUGAUCUUCCCCAAACUUGAAACUAUGCCAGUUAGGCUCCACGCCCCUUGUAAAGCGGUUUCAUGUGCUUCAUUUUAUGAAGUUAUUUGGCCACUUUAGUUGUGAUACAAACUUGAUAAAAAUAUAUAGGCCUAUGGGCUAGGCCUUAUAGGUCUCCCGGUCGCGAAACACAGCCAGAGAUCGAACCCAGGUCUGUAGUGACGCCUCUAGCAAUGCAGUGCCUUAGACCACUGUGCCACUCCGGAGGCAUGUAUUACUUUAUUUGACUUAAAUGGAGUUUUAUAUUCAUGUGACCAGUAUAUCAGUUAACCCUAUCCAAGCAUCUUAAAUCAAUAGUUUUUUACAAUAAUUUAUUACUAAAUAUUGACUAGUUACUGGCUAGGUUACCUGAUGCCUCCAACAGAGAGGUGUCCAUAGGAGCUGCUAGCUGCAGAGCUGGAGCGUGAGUUGUUGAUGUAGGCCACCAGAGAGUUGGGCGAGGUACGGAUCAUGGUCUGCAGGUCGAUGCUGGCGUCUGAGAGAGGCGAGAUGGACAGGGCUCGCUUUCUGUUCAGCCUGGGGGUCAGUCUGGGACUGGGGAACCGUGACACUGUGGGAAAGAAAAACACACAGACACAUACAGACUGUUAGUCUGACAACCUCUGAACUUCUCUCAGCUUCUCCUCCUGGCAUAGUUGCAUCUGAUUCAAGUAUUUUUUAAUUUUUUUAACAUUUCGCCUUUAUUUAACCAGGUAGGCUAGUUGAGAACAAGUUCAGAGAACAAGUAUGCAGAGACUUAUUGUCGUAGUUUGCAUAUACUGUAUACAUACAGCACAUGUGUGACGCACACAUGAUCACAUUUGUGUUUAUGUAUUGUUUCUUUGUAUUGGGGAAGAAUGCUUUUACUGAAUUGUCAGUCCUCCAAGGUUUCCCCAUUGCGAUGCAUUGAUACUACUGUUGGCCACCAGUAGGGGGCAGUGAGACGUGUUUACUUCGCAAUGGUUUAUAUGCGAUCCUGCACCUGUGUCUUCUCAUAAUUGAGAGAACCUAUGAAAGAGAAGCUACGUUCUCCUGUUUCAUCAUUUAUCCUGUGUUACAGGUCAGUAAAGUCCCAAAAAACACUGGAUUCCACAAUAUAGUUUUGUAACUUGCUUGUUGAAGUGAAUGUAAUGGUUUUGAACAACAUAGUAAUUGUAUAACUGUGUACUAGAUAGAAAACUCAUGUCAAGUGUAAAGUGAAAUGAUGGCGGUGAAUUCCUUUGAUCUAGAAAAAACGAAUUGUUAACUCCUGAACAUUUGUUGUUGUUGAAAAAAACACUCAUGACAAUAUCCUAAGGAUUUAGAGAAUUUAAUGUUGUAACUGUGACGUUUAAUAACUUUGUUGUAUUGUAAAUGUUAGAAAAGCCGCUAGUUUAGAGCUAGCUCCGGUUAGCUGUUUGCUAGCUCCGGUCAGUUGGUUGCUAGCUUCGGUUAGCGCAAUGCUAGCUUGUUCAGUAAUUUUUCAGAAAUUAGCAUUAAUGUCAGUUGCAAUAGUCUUGUCUUUCUAUUAGUCCUUCUUACACUGAGUGAAUGUGUUUUGAGCAUGGGUAUAAAGUAACUUCUAAUGAGUUACACCUGUCUUUGUGAUUGUCUCCACCCCCCUCCAGGUGUCGCCAUUAUCCCCUGUGUAUUUAUACCUGUGCUCUCUGUUUGUCCGUUGCCAGUUCGUCUUGUUUAUCAAGUCAACCAGCGUUUUUGUACUCAGCUCCUGCUUUUCCCAGUCUCUCGUUUUCUCGCCCUCCUGGUUUUAACCCUUGCCUGUCCUGACUCUGAGCCCACCUGCCUGACCACUCUGCCUGACCCUGAGCCUGCCUGCCGACCUGUACCUUUGCCCCACUUCUGGAUUGUUGACCUCUGCUUACCCUAAGCCUGCCUGCCUGCCGCCCGGUACCGUUGCCCCACCUCUGGUUUACUGACCACCGCCUGCCUUGACCUGUCUAUUGCCUGCCCCUGUUGGAAUAUUAAACCAUUGUCAAUUCUACA